rnacentral:rRNA from 1 species
CAGUCGCCGCGGGAAUACGUAGGGUGCAAGCGUUAAUCGGAAUUACUGGGCGUAAAGCGUGCGCAGGCGGUUUGUUAAGACAGAUGUGAAAUCCCCGGGCUCAACCUGGGAACUGCAUUUGUGACUGGCAAGCUAGAGUCUGGCAGAGGGGGGUGGAAUUCCGCGUGUAGCAGUGAAAUGCGUAGAUAUGCGGAGGAACACCGAUGGCGAAGGCAGCCCCCUGGGCCAACACUGACGCUCAUGCACGAAAGCGUGGGGAGCAAACAGGAUUAGAUACCCCCGUAGUCCCUGUCUCUUAUAC